GACGUAGGGCGCGAGCGUUGUCCGGAUUUAUUGGGCGUAAAGAGCUCGUAGGCGGCUUGUCGCGUCGAAUGUGAAAACUCGGGGCUCAACUCCGAGCUUGCAUUCGAUACGGGCAGACUAGAGUGCGGUAGGGGUGACUGGAAUUCCUGGUGUAGCGGUGAAUGCGCAGAUAUCAGGAGGAACACCGAUGGCGAAGGCAGGUCACUGGGCCGCAAGCUGACGCUGAGGAGCGAAAGCAUGGGGAGCGAACAGG
rnacentral:rRNA from 1 species